rnacentral:rRNA from 1 species
CCCUUAGAUGUCCUGGGCUGCACGCGCGCUACACUGACACGUUCAACGAGUUUUGCCUGCUCCGAUGGGACUGGGUAAUCUUAUGAAAGCGUGUCGUGAUGGGGAUAGAUUAUUGCAAUUAUUAAUCUUCAACGAGGAAUUCCUAGUAAGUACAAGUCAUCAGCUUGUGCUGAUUACGUCCCUGCCCUUUGUACACACCGCCCGUCGCUCCUACCGAUUGGGUGAUCCGGUGAAGCCUCGGGAUUGUGUUUGGUGCCUUUACUGGUGCCGAGCGCGAGAACUUGUCUAAACCUUAUCAUUUAGAGGAAGGUGAAGUCGUAACA